AUGGGGUCGUGCCUGCCGGCAGGCCAGCGGCCGACGGAGGUGGCGGCACUACCCGGGAAGGUGGGAGGAGGCAGUAGGAGGGGGGAGGAGGCCCCCGGCAGGAUUGCCGGGAUUGGAACUGGCAAUGUGGCUUGCCUCUUCACGCGGCAGGGGAAGAAGGGCACCAACCAAGACGCCAUGGUCGCGUGGGAGAACUUCAAUGGGAGAUCAGACACAGUAUUUUGUGGAGUUUUUGAUGGUCAUGGUCCACAUGGACAUCUCGUCGCGCGGAAAGUAAGAGAUACUCUCCCUUUGAAGCUGUGUGAUUUGAUAUAUUGUGACUAUGGAGAGAGCCCAACCAGCAAUUCAGAUGGAUCAGUUUUAGAAGAGAGUUUAUCUCCAUACCCAGAUGCAGAGGACAAAUCUCCCACAUUCACCGCACAGAAAGAAGAACAUCUAGAAUUCUUUGACUUAAUGAAAGAGUCUUUCCGAAAAGCUUUUAGAGUUAUGGAUAAGGAGCUUAAAUUACAUCGGAACAUAGAUAGCAUUUGCAGUGGAACUACCGCAGUUACUUUAAUUAAACAGGGUCAGGACCUUAUUGUCGGGAAUCUAGGUGACUCUAGAGCUGUAUUAGGCACUAGAGAUCAGAACGGUCAUUUGGUUGCCCAUCAGUUGACAGUUGACCUGAAACCUGAUCAUCCAAGAGAGGCUAGGAGGAUCAAGCGAUGUAAUGGACGGGUCUUUGCUCACCAGGAUGAACCAGAUGUGGCUCGCCUUUGGCUUCCUAACUGCAACUCUCCAGGCCUAGCAAUGGCACGAGCUUUUGGUGAUUUUUGUCUAAAGGAUUUUGGGCUGAUCUCUGUACCUGAGGUCACCUAUAGGCGAAUCAUGGAGAAGGAUCAGUUCAUCGUCCUUGCCACUGAUGGGGUGUGGGAUGUUCUGUCCAACCAGGAAGUGGUGGAAGUUGUUGCCUCAUGCUCUGGCCGUUCUGGCGCAGCUCGUGCUGUUGUUGAUCUAGCAAAUCAGACCUGGAAAUUCAAGUACCCAACCUCCAAAACGGAUGAUUGUGCAGUGAUCUGCCUUUUCCUGAGCAAAGAUGCGGCUGCAGGUGGGUUAUCAGGGCUUUCUGUUGCUAGCAAGGGAAUUGGAUCUAGUCCAGGGAUGCCACCGCGAUUAAGGACCCCCCAACACUUCAGUAAAAGGGUAAUUCCAGAGGAUGCCGAUGAUGAAUGUGACCCAAAUAUAAGUGGAGAUGAGAGGUCAUUGGAGGGCUUCACCUGGUUGAACACGCUUUUGACACUACCAAAGUUUGGUGAUACAAGUCCAACCAAGAAAUGA
rnacentral:rRNA from 1 species